GUGCUCGCUUGGUAGCACAUAUACUAAAAUUGAAAUGAUACGGAGAGGAUUAGCAUGGCCCCUGCACAAGGAUGAAACGCAAAUUUGUGAAGGGUUCCGUAUUUAA